UUCCUACCACAAGUAUUUGGAUUUCGCAGAAUUUGAAGAAACAGUGCAAGUAUUUAAAAAGGAAUGUAAAAUAAAAGGGAAGCCACUACCUAAACCAGCAGAUGUUUCCUCAGAAGAUCCAUUGCCUGUUCAGGAAGAUCUGCUUGCAGCAUUUGAAAGUGGUGAGCAGAAAGUUUUCCUCCAGCUCUGGGAGGAGCACGUUUCGUCUUUGGUGCAGGACAAUGACCUGGUUGCUCAGAAGUUGGAGUUCUAUCUUCACGUACACUUUGCCACCUUCCUCUUGAAACAAACUAGGGGAAAACCUGACAAAGCUAAACUUAAGGAAAGGAUGUCACAUUUUAAGGCAUACCUGGAAACAAA